CGCCGGUCUAACUGACGGCUGCUGAGAUUAGUUCUGGGCUCCAUGGUUCCGCUUCCUCCGAGAAACGUUCAGUUGACAUAAAUCAACGAGCUCUUCAGACUGCAAAGCCUAUGUAGGGAAGCUGCUAUUACCGAAGAAAGGAGCGGAUUUCUGGAGCAGCAACAGUUAUCAGGAGGUCCCAGCAGCGCGCGGCGCGACGCGGCGCCAGAGCGCGCCCUGCUGACGCAACCACGUCAGUGCUGCUCAGUUGCAUGGCCGUCAGCAAUGUCCCCAGAACGGCCCAGGGAGGGACCGAGCAAAGUCACGGAGCCACCCUCUCUCUCUCGCAUUGUGCCGCCGGCCGGACCACCUGUUAAAGAGCAGCCGCUGCCGUCGCCUCGGUGCCGGCCGUAAAGUAGCAUGCGGGACGGGAUCUGCUCGGAGCGCACUGAGCGGGACGAGCCCAAAGUGAAGUGAGAAGGAGCGGAGAGAGCCGCGCUUCCGCACCGCACGUUCAGCCAGCAGCAAGUUGCCCGGCUGAACCACACGCGCGCGCGCACACACAGAGACGCACAAAAAAAAGUCGCGUCGACGGGAAAGGGGACAGACGCUCUCGGAUUUAACGGAGCUUUUCAGGGGACAUUGGUUUCAGCAAACAUGAAAUUCGCCGAGCACCUUGCGUCCCACAUCACCCCAGAGUGGAGGAAGCAGUAUCUUCUCUAUGAGGCCUUCAAGGACAUGCUGUAUGGGGCCCAGGACCAAGCCCCUGCCGUAGAAGGUAAGGACCCUCACUGUU